GGGAAGUAGCUUGCUACUUUGCCGGCGAGCGGCGGACGGGUGAGUAAUGUCUGGGAAACUGCCUGAUGGAGGGGGAUAACUACUGGAAACGGUAGCUAAUACCGCAUGACCUCGUAAGAGCAAAGUGGGGGACCUUCGGGCCUCACGCCAUCGGAUGUGCCCAGAUGGGAUUAGCUAGUAGGUGAGGUAAUGGCUCACCUAGGCGACGAUCCCUAGCUGGUCUGAGAGGAUGACCAGCCACACUGGAACUGAGACACGGUCCAGACUCCUACGGGAGGCAGCAGUGGGGAAUAUUGCACAAUGGGCGCAAGCCUGAUGCAGCCAUGCCGCGUGUGUGAAGAAGGCCUUAGGGUUGUAAAGCACUUUCAGCGAGGAGGAAGGGUUCAGUGUUAAUAGCACUGUGCAUUGACGUUACUCGCAGAAGAAGCACCGGCUAACUCUGUGCCAGCAGCCGCGGUAAUACGGAGGGUGCAAGCGUUAAUCGGAAUUACUGGGCGUAAAGCGCACGCAGGCGGUUUGUUAAGUCAGAUGUGAAAUCCCCGAGCUUAACUUGGGAACUGCAUUUGAAACUGGCAAGCUAGAGUCUUGUAGAGGGGGGUAGAAUUCCAGGUGUAGCGGUGAAAUGCGUAGAGAUCUGGAGGAAUACCGGUGGCGAAGGCGGCCC
rnacentral:rRNA from 1 species